rnacentral:tRNA from 1 species
AGCUCCGAGGUGUCAUCAUGCUAGAUUGCAAAUCUAGAGUAGCAGGCAAAUCCCCUGCCGGAUCUU